UACGAAGGGGGCUAGCGUUGCUCGGAAUCACUGGCGUAAAGCGCACGUAGGCGGCUUUUUAAGUCAGGGGUGAAAUCCUGGAGCUCAACUCCAGAACUGCCUUUGAUACUGGCGACCUUGAGUCCGGGAGAGGUGAGUGGAACUGCGAGUGUAGAGGUGAAAUUCGUAGAUAUUCGCAAGAACACCAGUGGCGAAGGCGGCUCACUGGCCCGGUACUGACGCUGAGGUGCGAAAGCGUGGGGAGCAAACAGG
rnacentral:rRNA from 1 species